CCUGUUGUCCAGACCUUGUCGGCUGAAGAGCCUGUUGUGUUAAAGUUCACCGCAGAUAAGGCAUUGGUGGUUGAUAACCCUGAGAUACAAAUAUGCUAUCUAGUAGAGCUAUGCAAGUUUAGUAGUUUGUGUGCCUUUGAUAACAUGAUUUACAUUGCAGUAGGCCUAAACGUCUGAUCCGUAAAUGAGGUGGUGUCAAAGCUGGGCUGACUAUUUACUGCAUUGUUUGAGAUUUGUUAUAGGUGAAUGGGCCCCUGUGAAUGUUUUUGCCAACUGCUAAGGUCUGCUGAGGGUGUGGCCGUUUUCUCUGUUUUGGCUGUGUGAGUUCCCUCAGCUUGUUGGCCAUUAUUUCCCCUUCUUUUAAGUGUUGUGCCAGACAGACAGGGUGGAGGAUUUUGAGAACCCCUUUCCCCUUCACUGCAUGUGGUGGUGUGUAUGACAGCUGUGUGCGCAUGCUUAACUUAGUUUUAUUGUGUGGUGUUUGAUGUGUGUAUUCUGCUGUGUUUAGGUGGCUGCGCACUGGUGUGAGUAGCGGUGUCAAGGUGGCCCACAGCUCAAUUCAUAGCCACAUAAUAUUUCACUUUGAUGCAGCAAAAUGUUAGGUUAAAGAACAAGUUAGUUAAAAAAAAAAUUGCAGGAUGACCCUACAUUUUCUUUUCUUGUCAAUGCAGUGGUAAAAACUAUAUUCUUUUUGUCAGCCAUCCUGCUUAAAACAAGUAAUUGAUUCAUUAUGUUUUUCUGUUGAGGCCCAAGUUGGAAACCAUUAAUCUGCAUACAUUUAUGUGUUUACAAAUGUUGAACCUAUGCAACCAAUUCUACUGGAGCUUGAGAGAUACACACCACAACUGAUUGCCCUGUACAGGCAGAAGGCCAAGAGAGCAGACGCCCUGCAGAGAUCCUCCGGAUUUAUGACCUUCAAUCUAGGAACAAUAUGAGGUACACAUGGGAUGCCACCCGACCCUCCGUGGCCUCCAAGUGAACCUGCUAGCAGAUGACUGACGUCUUCAAAACCUGCAAUCAACUGACAGGUUUAAAGAGAUGAAAGAAUACAUAAGGAUACAUCCCUGGUCCUGGGACCCAGAACCAGGGAGCAGACCUGCUGUCGAGACGGGGGCUGAGGCCCGGGGAAUGGAGACUCCACCCCCAGGUGUUGGAGUUAUUAUGCGACAGUGCAAAGGUGAACCAGACACUGUUGACACUCCUCACUGUGUACACUGACCUGGUGCAGUCCGCUUCAGCCGAAGUGAAAGGUGGCUGUGGAUAGAUUUGUCGAUUUCUCUGAGGGUGGUGAUGGUACAGUGGAUAAGACGCAUGCCUUUUGUGUGAGAGACCCGGGUUUAAUUCCCCAUUGUGACACAUCCACCAAUGUGUCUCUGAGCAGAACACUUUAGCCCUAGUUCCUUCAGGGGCGUGCGACCUCUUACACAUAUAGUUAUUGUAAGUAUGUUUGACUAAAAGCAUCAGUUAAAUGUUAAUGUAACUUAUGUACAAACUCCUGAAAGCACUUCUGAACUGGCCGUUCAGGCCAGCUGUGAAGAGGUCCACAAGAUGAGGGAGGCACUCACUCACUCACUCACUCACUCACUCACUCACUCACUGGGUGACAUCACUUAUUAUUCUCUAUACUAAUUAUUUGUAAAUGUACCUGCUUUGCGCCUGCCUCGACUUCUCCCUGUACUCAAUCACACACACACCUUUACCUCUGGUCUCUCAUUGAAAAUACACAGUCUUUCCCCGCCUCUCUGUCUGCUCCCCUGAGUUUAUCCAUCAGCAGUAGGAUAUGUUUUAUAAAGUCA